AAGAUUUCAGCUGCGGGACGGUCAGGGGAGACCUCCAGGCGCAGGGAAGGACGGCCAGGGUGACACGGAAGCAUGCGACGGCUGCUGAUCCCUCUGGCCCUGUGGCUGGGUGCGGUGGGCGUGGGCGUCGCCGAGCUCACGGAAGCCCAGCGCCGGGGCCUGCAGGUGGCCCUGGAGGAAUUUCACAAGCACCCGCCCGUGCAGUGGGCCUUCCAGGAGACCAGUGUGGAGAGCGCCGUGGACACGCCCUUCCCAGCUGGAAUAUUUGUGAGGCUGGAAUUUAAGCUGCAGCAGACAAGCUGCCGGAAGAGGGACUGGAAGAAACCCGAGUGCAAAGUCAGGCCCAAUGGGAGGAAACGGAAAUGCCUGGCCUGCAUCAAACUGGGCUCUGAGGACAAAGUUCUGGGCCGGUUGGUCCACUGCCCCAUAGAGACCCAAGUUCUGCGGUUUUGGGCACUGGCAGGAGGCUGAGGAGCACCAGGAGACCCAGUGCCUCAGGGUGCAGCGGGCUGGUGAGGACCCCCACAGCUUCUACUUCCCUGGACAGUUCGCCUUCUCCAAGGCCCUGCCCCGCAGCUAAGCCAGCACUGAGAUGCGUGGUGCCUCCAGGACCGCUGCGGGUGGUAACCAGUGGAAGACCCCAGCCCCCAGGGAGAGGAACCCGUUCUAUCCCCAGCCAUGAUAAUAAAGCUGCUCUCCCA